GAGUAACACGUAUCCAACCUGCCGUCUACUCUUGGACAGCCUUCUGAAAGGAAGAUUAAUACAAGAUGGCAUCAUGAGUCCGCAUGUUCACAUGAUUAAAGGUAUUCCGGUAGACGAUGGGGAUGCAUUCCAUUAGAUAGUAGGCGGGGUAACGGCCCACCUAGUCUUCGAUGGAUAGGGGUUCUGAGAGGAAGGUCCCCCACAUUGGAACUGAGACACGGUCCAAACUCCUACGGGAGGCUAGCAUG
rnacentral:rRNA from 1 species